CAGAGCCCCGCAAGGGGUGAUGGCGUGCCUUUUGCUUAAUGAGUCUGCGAGUUAUUGUCUGUGGCGUGCCGAAGGGCUUCUGGUCCAGAGGCGGAGCGAAAGCGAGUCCGAAAUGGGCGAACAUAGUCGCAGGCAGUAGACCCGAAGCGGAGGUGAUCUACCCAUGGCCAGGAUGAAGUCCCAGUAAAAUGGGAUGGAGGUCCGAACUGGUGAGCGUUGAAAAGCUCUCGGAUGAGCUGUGGGUAGGAGCGAAAGACUAAUCAAACCCCGUGAUAGCUGGUUCUCCCCGAAAUAGCUUGAGGGCUAGCCUUGCAUGCUGACCUAUGGAGGUAGAGCACUGGAUGGACGAGGGCCCAUACCCGGGUACCGAAUCCAAUCAAACUCCGAAUGCCAUGGGGCGCAGCGCCGGAGUCAGACGGCGGGGGAUAAGCUUCGUCGUCGAGAGGGAAACAGCCCAGACCGUCAGCUAAGGUGCCUAACGACCGCUGAGUGGAAAGGAUGUGGGAUUUCUUAGACAGUGAGGAUGUUGGCUUAGAGGCAGCCAUCAUUUAAACAAAGCGUAACAGCUGACUCAUCGAGAGAUCCCGCGCCGAAAAUGAUUGGCGAUCAAGCGGUCGACCGAAGCUACGGAUGAAAUACCGGUUCGCCGGAAUUUCGUGGUAGGGGAGCGUUCUGUACGCAUCGAAGCGGAAAGGAAACUGACCGUGGAGUGUACGGAAGUGAGAAUGCAGACAUGAGUAGCGAUCAUCCCGGUGAAAUUCCGGGACGCCGUAAACCCAAGGUUUCCUGGGGAAGGUUCGUCCUCCCAGGGUUAGUCGGGUCCUAAGUCGAGGCCGCACGGCGUAGACGAUGGGCAGCAGGUUCAAUAUUCCUGCACCAGGUGUUGAACGUCCUUGUCCCGCAAGGGGACGCAGAGGCCACGGCCGAAGCGGAUCUCUUAAACUUUCUGCCGAGAAAAAGCGUCGGGUAUACUAAGGUGCCCGUACCGUAAACCGACACAGGUGGGUGAGUAGAAUAUACUAAGGUGCGCGAGUGAACCCUCUUCAAGGAACUCGGCAAUCUAACCCCGUAACUUCGGAAGAAGGGGUGCCCGUCGCAAGACGGGUCGCAGAGAAAUGGGCCUACCGACUGUUUAGCAAAAACACAGCACUCUGCUAAGUCGUGAAGACGACGUAUAGGGUGUGACACGUGACCAAUGCCGAAAGAUUACGGUAAGGGGUCAGCCGCAAGGCGAAGCUCCGAGCCCAAGUCCCGGUGAAUGUCGGCCGUAACUAUAACGGUCCUAAGGUAGCGAAAUUCCUUGUCGGGUAAGUUCCGACCUGCACGAAUCGUGUAACGAGUGGGCCGCUGUCUCGAAGAGGCGCUCGGCGAAGUUGUAUUGGCGGUGAAGAUGCCGCCUACCCGCAGUAGGACGGAAAGACCCCGUGCACCUUUACUGUAAGCUGUCGCUGGAUUUUCGUUCGGAAUACUUAGCGUAAGUGGGAGACGUUGAUCCUUGGGUUUCGGCCUAAGGGGAGUCGCCAAUGAAACACCACCUUUUCUUCAUGAAGAUUCUAACCCUUGCCCGUGAUCCGGGCGGGGGACCACGGCAGCGGGUCAGUUUGACUGGGGCGGUUUCCUCCUAAAGAGUAACGGAGGAGUGCUAUGGUUCUCUCAGCAUGGUUGGUAAUCAUGCGUCGAGCGUAUGGGUACAUGAGAGCCUGACUGCGAGACCUACAAGUCGAGCAGGGACGAAAGUCGGCCCAAGUGAUCCGGUGGUUGAAAGUGGAAUCGCCAUCGCUCAUCGGACAAAAGGUACGCCGGGGAUAACAGGCUGAUCGCGCCCAAGAGUUCAUAUCGACGGCGCGGUUUGGCACCUCGAUGUCGGCUCAUCGCAUCCUGGGGCUGGAGAAGGUCCCAAGGGUCCGGCUGUUCGCCGGUUAAAGCGGUACGCGAGCUGGGUUCAGAACGUCGUGAGACAGUUCGGUCCUUAUCCACUGUGGGCGCAGGAAAUGUGACGGGUUCAUUCCCUAGUACGAGAGGACCGGGAAUGACGCACCUCUGGUGUUCCGGUUGUCGCGUCCGCGGCAGCGCCGGGUAGCUAUGUGCGGAAGGGAUAAGCGCUGAAAGCAUCUAAGCGCCAAGCCCAUCCGAAGAUGACAUUUCCCCAUUAGGGACGUGGUAGACCACCACGUUGAUAGGUCGCGAGUGGAAGCACGGUAACGUGUUAAGCUGAGCGAUACUAAUUUCCCGAUUGGCUUGAUCUC
rnacentral:rRNA from 1 species